rnacentral:rRNA from 1 species
UACGGGGGAGCAAGCGUUGUUCGGAUUUACUGGGCGUAAAGGGCGCGUAGGCGGUCAGCACAAGUCAGUUGUGAAAUCUCCUGGGCUUAACUCGGGAAAGGUCAACUGAUACUGUGCGACUAGAGUGCAGAAGGGGCAACUGGAAUUCUCGGUGUAGCGGUGAAAUGGCGUAGAUAUCGAGAGGAACACCUGCGGCGAAGGC